rnacentral:rRNA from 1 species
CCUACGGGUGGCAGCAGUGGGGAAUAUUGCACAAUGGGGGAAACCCUGAUGCAGCGACGCCGCGUGAGUGAAGAAGUAUUUCGGUAUGUAAAGCCCUAUCAGCAGGGAAGAAAAUGACGGUACCUGACUAAGAAGCCCCGGCUAACUACGUGCCAGCAGCCGCGGUAAUACGUAGGGAGCAAGCGUUAUCCGGAUUUACUGGGGGUAAAGGGAGCGUAGGCGGCAGCACAAGUCUGGAGUGAAAUGCCGGGGCUUAACCCCGGAACUGCUUUGGAAACUGUGCAGCUAGAGUGCAGGAGAGGUAAGUGGAAUGCCUGGUGUAGCGGUGAAAUGCGUAGAUAUUAGGAGGAAAACCAGUGGCGAAGGCGGCUUACUGGACUGUAACUGACGUUGAGGCUCGAAAGCGUGGGGAGCAAACAGGAUUAGAUACCCCUGUAGUC